AUUGAACGCUGGCGGAAUGCUUUACACAUGCAAGUCGAGCGGCAGCACGGGGGCAACCCUGGUGGCGAGCGGCGAACGGGUGAGUAAUACAUCGGAACAUGCCCAGUCGUGGGGGAUAACACUUCGAAAGAAGUGCUAAUACCGCAUACGUCCUGAGGGAGAAAGCGGGGGAUCUUCGGACCUCGCGCGAUUGGAGUGGCCGAUGUCAGAGUUGCGAGUUGGUGGAGUCAAGGCCUACCAAGGCAACGAUCUGUAGCUGGUCUGAGAGGAGGAUCCGACAGACUGGGACUGCGAAACUGCCCAGACUCCGACGGGAGGCAGCAGUGGGGAAUUUUGGACCAUGGGCGCAACUCUGAUCCAGCCAUUCCGCGUUAGUGAAGAAGGACUUCGCGUUGUCAAGCUCUUUCGGCAGGAACGAAACGGCGAGCUCUAACAUAGCUUGCUAAUGACGGUACCUGAAGAAGAAGCACCGGCUAACUACGUGCCAGCCGCCGCAGUAAAAC
rnacentral:rRNA from 1 species